rnacentral:rRNA from 1 species
GAUGAACGCUAGCUACAGGCUUAACACAUGCAAGUCGAGGGGCAGCAUGAACAAAGCUUGCUUUGUUUGAUGGCGACCGGCGCACGGGUGCGUAACACGUAUCCAAUCUGCCCGCGGCUCGGGGAUAGCCCAUCGAAAGGUGGAUUAAUACCCGAUGGCGUGGUCACCCCGCAUGGGGUUUCCACUAAAGGUUUUCCGGCCGCGGAUGAGGAUGCGUAUGAUUAGGUAGUAGGCGGGGUAACGGCCCACCUAGCCUUCGAUCAUUAGGGGUUCUGAGAGGAAGGUCCCCCACACUGGAACUGAGACACGGUCCAGACUCCUACGGGAGGCAGCAGUGAGGAAUAUUGGUCAAUGGGCGAGAGCCUGAACCAGCCAAGUAGCGUGAAGGAAGACUGCCCUAUGGGUUGUAAACUUCUUUUGUUCGGGAAUAAAGUGCAGUAUGUAUACUGUUUUGUAUGUACCGUUCGAAUAAGCAUCAGCUAAUUCCGUGCCAGCCGCCGCAGUAAUAC